GGGCAUCUGGUGUAGUUGGUUAUCACGUUCGCUUCGCAAAGACCGUUUGAACGGUGUAAAAUCGUUGCGAAAGGUGAGCGGUUCGAUUCCGCUGUUGUCCA